GGGUGAGAUCGUUGUGUAUGUGAUGUUCCUGCAGAAGGCAAUCACAGCCAGUCCACCAGCCUUCUUCUGCAUGGACGUAAUAUGCAAGUACUGGCCUUACAUCCAGAGAAUUGCUGAAGCCUGCCCAGAGUACAGUCACCUCACCACCGUGAAGGCUCUGUUGUCUGUGCUCCAUGCCAAAGCACAUGGCAUCGAGUGUGAGAUAACCUGGGAGAGGAGGUGGAAAUGGUUCAUUCCUCCCUGUCCAGGACCGCCAUACUCACAAAGUUCAUGGGCAAAGGAGCACGCACAGACAUGCUAACUGUCCAGAUUAUGGACUGGAAUAAGAGAAAGAUGGAGAACAUGUGGAAAACCUUGUGCACAAGAUUUCGUAAGACACAGCAGAAUCCUGAGAGGGAGAGGCAGAGCCUAGAGACCCUCAAGGGAGAGAUGUCUGCAAAUGAUGGGACUGUGGAACAGUGGGUCAGAGAUGUCCGGGACUGGGCUGAACAUGAUGGUGUGGAGUUCCUUGCCAAAAAAAUAUUUUUGAUAAGGCAAUGCACAUAAGAAGACCUGAGGAGGAGGUGAUGAUCCUUGCUGCAGAAGUAACAACAGUGGGAGUUCCUCAAGAGAAGGGAGCAGACAUUGAGAGGUCUAUCCGUCAGCACUGAGGGUAGCCACUGCAGCGUCUCUGAAGAAGGACUUCGAGGUCUUCAGGCAGAGUUCAACAGAAGAAGGUCUCAGCUGCAGUCUCACCUUUUCACUGUGAGAAAUAAAUACUUGCACGUGGUAAGAGCAGGACUUGAUGGGUCUGCACUGGACCCUGAAGAGGGAGAAGAGCAGUUUGAGGAGCAAGAUCUAGCAAAUGAUGUGGAGAGCUACUCAGAUGAGGAGGACAUGGACAUGCAGGGACUGGACAGUGCUGUUGGGGAAUAGAAUCCAGAGGACAACACACUCCUAAUGACAUGCCCAUUGAAACUGAGUCUGGCACUUAUUAUUACUAUUAUUAUUACUAUUAUUGUUAUUAUUAUUACUAUUAUUAGUGGGCAGGUCUAAGUACAGACAGCUGUGAAUACACCUAAUGUGUCUUUAAUGCAUCUUGAGAUCAAAUCACUCCAAAAAAUCACAUUCCAGUAUUUACAGCAAAUAUUUGAUAUUCUGCGUAAUGCUGUAGCGCCACUGCCUGUGAUCUUGUCGAAUGUUUAUUGUUUAUUUGUUUUGGUUUGCUGGUUCAAUCCCAGCACCCUGUAUAUCCCAGUCAGGGAUGGACCAUAACUCUGUAUAUUCACUUGAAUACUUACUGUAGACCCUGAGUGUACUUUUGACCCCAUGACUUGUCUAUGAAGGUUCAUGGUACUUUGAGCCUGUUUUGAAAUCAGUGGAUGAAUUUUCUUUUCUUUUCUAAGAAUAGGCAAUAAACUGUUUGUCACAAGAGAAUUACCAAUCAUGUCAACUAUGCCUACACUAGCAGUCAAGUUUAAAGUGCUUGCAUUUAUUUCUUUAGUUAUUUAUUUAUUUGAAAAGUUUGAUUCAAACUUGGAUGAAGAUUCCUCACCAAAGCAUGUCUGUGUGGCUUUAUCUCUUCACAGCUGAGGUUUCUGAAAUGAAGAAAGAUUCACAUUGUUUGAAAUGUUUGCUCUGUUUACAGCACACAAACUUUGUAGCAUGUGCUACAAAGUCCUCAGUUUUAUUCUAUAGGUUCUACAGGGAAGUCAGUGCAUUCACUGGAUUGUCUGAGUCAUUAGUUUGUGCAAAUGCAUUGUGGCAACAACACAUUAAAGAAUGCUUGAAGACUUAAAAACAAGCACUUGGAACACAAAGUUUGACCAGAUGUACAGUAUGUAGUAUGUAUCUAUGCACUGACUCAAUUAAAUGGACUUGUCUACUUUGUCCACCUCUUUUUUCAAUGUUUAUUCAUUGUCUCUUCAUGGUUCACAUAAAAAAUAAAUAACUAAUAUUAAUAGCCA